UACGUAGGGGGCAAGCGUUGUCCGGAAUCAUUGGGCGUAAAGCGCGUGUAGGCGGCUCGGUAAGUCCGCUCUGAAAGUCCAGGGCUCAACCCUGGGAUGCGGGUGGAUACUGCCGGGCUCGAGUCCGGAAGAGGCGAGUGGAAUUCCCGGUGUAGCGGUGAAAUGCGCAGAUAUCGGGAGGAACACCAAUGGCGAAGGCG
rnacentral:rRNA from 1 species